AUUGAACGCUGGCGGAAUGCUUUACACAUGCAAGUCGAACGGUAGAGGGGGCAACCCCUUGAGAGUGGCGAACGGGUGAGUAAUAUAUCGGAACGUGCCCAGUCGUGGGGGAUAACGUAGCGAAAGUUACGCUAAUACCGCAUACGAUCUAAGGAUGAAAGCGGGGGAUCGCAAGACCUCGCGCGAUUGGAGCGGCCGAUAUCAGAUUAGGUAGUUGGUGAGGUAAAGGCUCACCAAGCCAACGAUCUGUAGCUGGUCUGAGAGGACGACCAGCCACACUGGAACUGAGACACGGUCCAGACUCCUACGGGAGGCAGCAGUGGGGAAUUUUGGACAAUGGACGCAAGUCUGAUCCAGCCAUUCCGCGUGCAGGAUGAAGGCCCUCGGGUUGUAAACUGCUUUUGUACGGAACGAAAAGGUUUGUCUUAAUACGAUGAGCUCAUGACGGUACCGUAAGAAUAAGCACCGGNUAACUACGUG
rnacentral:rRNA from 1 species